AAGUCGUAACAAGGUUUCCGUAGGUGAACCUGCGGAAGGAUCAUUAAAGAAUUAGGCUUCCGCCGGCCAAAGUUCUCCACCCUUUAGUAUACCGAAAUCCAUGGUUGCUUUGGCAGGCCCCUGCAUUUCUCGGGGACCCUGCCAGAGGGUUAUAAACCCUAGAAUCUCUGCUGUCAUGUAGUACUAUAUAAUAGUUAAAA
rnacentral:misc_RNA from 1 species